AUUUUGUAGCCACUUCAUCUGGAGUGACGGUGCCACAGAUCUUCAAGGGAUGUGCAUCUUCCUCACUGUGUCCAGCCACAGGCUCUCAGACAUUUUCAGUCAACCUGGGUGCUUCCAGUGCAGUUACAUCUGCUGAGUGCUGCAACACAGAUAACUGUAACACAGCAACUUUACCUGCUCCUGCGACUCCAACAGCCAACAGCCUACAGUGUUUCUAUUGUACCAACCAACGAUGCAACACUCCGUUGACAUGCAGGGGAAACGAGGACCGAUGCUUUCAAGCGAGUUGUGAGUCUUUAAGAUACAGUACAACACAGAUUGUUUAAAUAAAUGUUGCUGCCUGAACGUUUUUCAAAGAAGUCUGUGAAGGAACAUUAUUAGAUAUAGUAACUAAAGCACUGAACUUCUAUAUAAUAUUGAGGUACUUGAAUAUAAACAUUUGAUUUUAAAAUGUACAUUUCUCUGCACUAAAAUUACAUGACAGAGAUGAAAGAGAUGAAAAUCAAUUAAAAAUUUAACACAGACAAAUUUUCAAGUAAAGAUCUGAAUAGUUCUUCCUGAAAUCAUUAACAAACAACAUCAUUUGUUAAAUAAAAAAAUAAUACAAUGUUUUAUCUACAGUGACAAAUUCGGAUGGAACUUCUCCAGCCUUUGGCUGUACGUCUUCAAACACAUGUGUAGCUGCUCCAGCCCUGGGUAGCCUACCGUUCAUGGAAAGUAUUGGGACACUCAACAGUGGGCCAAGCUGCUGCGGGACCAGUUUGUGUAAUACAGUCACGGCAACAACAACAACUCCUCCUGCUGACGAAAAUGACUGCAACACCAACCACUGCUGCUGCAACCACAACAACUGCUGCUGCAACCACAACAACUGCUGCUGCAACCACAACAACUGCUGCCCCAACAACCAGAGACCAAACAACAAUAACAACAACAACUGCUGCUGCAAGACAACGAGCUGCAGCCUCAACAUCAACGGCUAAUUUGACUUUUAACGUUAAUGUUCUGAGAACCCAACUACAAUACUAUAACCUACUAUCACUCUGAAAAUAACUGACUGGUUAUAAUAAAGGGAGUUGUGUAAACAACCAUAUUAUUAAACUUUUCUGAUGCUGUAAAACUGAUCAAACCACUGCUGUGAACUCAUUAUAUUUCACGGGUCAUGCUUUAUAAAGGGUAAAGAAGUAUCUUAAAAUUAUAUGAUAUUUCUUUAUCUGCACAUCUCAAAAUCCAUCCCAGGUACUCAGCUGGUUCUCUGCAGUUCUCUGUAUCAACAUGCCAGCAGAUGGUGCUCUUGUGUUACUUUAUACGUCCAUUUCUUUGCUUUGACAUAAUAUUGAGCCUUAUUGGCUCCCUGCUGCAACCAUAAGUAGUUCCUGUACUGUGUUUCAAAAGCUAAUAAAUCAGGGAAGUGUCUCUGUCUGUCUUCUCUUUGCUGGAUAUCACCGACUCACUCACUCACACACACACACACACACACACACACUCACACACACACACACACACACACACACACACACACACACACACACACACACACACACACACACACACACACACACACACACUAAUUAAACACGUAUUGUGAUGCUUUAUAAUAUAGUGGUUGCUUCCCUCCCAGCCAACUCUUAGCAGAGCCAUACAUCCUCUCACAUUCUUCCAUCAUUAUAUUCCCUGAAAAGUCAAAGUAUUCAGAGCCACUAUGAAAACACUCUGUACACACAGUGUCUCCACUGCAGACAGGACUGACCCAGAUGACAUAACUCAUGAUACAUAGACUAAGUAUUAAUGAACAUGGGAGGUGUAUAUUCCCCGUAAAUCACUGCAACAUUGUUUCUGCAGAAGCUUCAGAGAUCAAUGGCAUGAGAUGUGGCACCGUCAUUUUAAUGCGUCACAGAAAUCCUUUUGAUUUUAAGGUUUUAAAUAAAAACACGGCAGUGACGUGAAAUUAGAGAGUGAUUAUAUCAUAUUGUUAAAUUAAUGACAGUUGAUGUUUUUCUCUGAUCAGGCAUCUGACAAAUAGGGAUUCAUAUGUAUUUUUAUUUUUUAAUAAUAGAAUAACAGAGCAGUGACAUGGAUAGCAGAUGAUGAUGAUUACAUCUUGAAUCAUAUCAAUCAGUCAAAAUGGAUCCAAAUAAAAAUCAAAUCAAAUCAUGUAAUUAUGCAAUAAAAAAAAUAUCAUUAGACAAAAAGUGUCCUUGACAGGAGAAUGUGCCUCUGACUCAUGGUAUCAACAUUUUGAAGGCGAGGCCGUGAAUUAAAGCAGACUGUAGAAAUGAAGCGUGCGAGGUGUUAUUAUUCUGCGCAUAAUAACAUUUACACCUGCAGUGGCGUUUGUACUUAAUAAUUAUUCCAUGCACACUUUUUUGAAAUGUAAAAUAUAUCCUCCAACUCAAAUCUGAAAUCAUAUUUCCUCAGCUCUGUCACCAUCUCAUCCACCUGAGCACAGCGCAGGGCGCCAGACAGCUGGAUGACAUCUGAUGUCAUCUUGGAUUUCUAUAACCGACAUUGACAAUUUUGUUACCAAAGAAUGACAACUGUACACAUAUAACACAAGUACGAUUUUAGUUUCCACUGAGCCUGGUUGUAUGUAAAUCGCUGCUGUGAACACCAGUGACUGUGCGUCACACGGGGCGCGGUGGACAUCAGUCGAACUUCCACUUUCAGAUGUUAUCCCAGGGUGGAGAUAACUAUGACCGUCACAAUCGUUUUAGUAAAUGGAACAGUAAGUCUGUGCGCUGUACACAUGAACGCUGCUGUGCCCGUCGUGCGUAAUGCUGCAGACUGUCACUGUCCUCGUACUGCUGCAGGAUGAAGUUGAUGAAUGUGUACGAUAUGUGCUUUGUAACCUAAACCUCACUAACCACUCGUUCGCUGUGCCAGAAACAUGUACUUUCCUCAUCUUACUCCUGUUGUGGCCACGAUGUAAAAACCAUCGAUCAGUGACUCAUUUCCAUGCGUUAACAUUGAUGAGGCACUUUCCGUCGGUGUGGAGAGGGCGGGACAGGAGGCGGGUCCACUUGCGCACAUUUCCAGGUUGAUUUGGGGUUUCUAAGAAGGAAAUUGUGAAUUGCUGGUAUGGUAGGUAGGUAGGUAGGUACGUAGGUAGGUAGGUAGGCAAACAUUUAGUGUGGAUUCUCCCUAGAGUUUUAUAAAUGACACCCCAGGUGAGAAAGCGGCCAGGUAGUUAAGAACACAUUAUAACGCCAAGUCAGCUACUGUUUUGGCCUCAUUAGCAGCUGUGGAUUUCUUGACACUGCUUUGCGAAUAUUCAGAACAUCUUCUCCAGUUUCUUAACAUUCUGUUAUCAAUUGUGGAAAGUCCUCUUACAUUAUUUUAUUAUAAAUACUCUGUUUGCCUCAUUUAUUAUCAGAUUAUAUGGCGUCUUCUAGUUGCACACAAUAUAUUUGCGUGUGACUGUCAGCACAUAACGGCAGAGAAAGAUCAGUGAGAGAGUAGGAGCAGGAAGAACCAGAUGACUGCAGCAGACCACAAACUGGAACACCAACAUACAACAGGAGGGAGCUGAGGGAGACAAAUUCCCCAGACUCCCUUAAUAAACUGUUCCAUUUUGAGCACUGUUUCGACAGUAGGAACUACAUUAAGUUCUUAAAAUUCCCAAUGUGACUAAUUCUUAAUCCUUUGGUCCUCCUUAUAAAUCUGGCAUAUGUUAAAUAGAAAUGUAUUUAUUCUUUAAUGUAUAAAUUAAGAUGUUUCUUUGCAUACAGAGUGGAAAAAUGUGUGUGAAGAAGUCUGGACCAGCGGUUCCUGAAACAGCUGCAAGCAGUGAAACCAGAGGCCAGGCAGCCACUGGUGAACAGGUACAUUACAAACGAGCAACGCACCCUUAAAUCAGAAAGGAUGCAAUUAGUGACUGUCACUUGUCAUAUUGGAGUGAAGAAUGAAUGCCCUCCAGCACCAGCUGCCCUCAGGUCUCACUAACAGGGAGUGGAGGAGCCUCAUUUGCGUUGCGGCAGGACUGGUAUGUAACUUUACAAAGCUGCGUUACCUGCCUUACCUGCAGUUGUGCCAGAUAUAUUGCAGUCGUUAAACACAUAUUGCCUGUGGCAGCCACGGGCACACAUCAAGAUUUCUUCUAUUCAUUUCAAUUAAAAUCAUAUUUCAACACUA